AGUUUGUUCCAACGAUAUCGGUAUUUAACUUUGUUAUUUACCUCUUUUAGAAAUAAGAAGAUGAAAUUGGUAAUUGUGGUUACAACUUUACUCCUCAUCAUGGCAUUCGGUAAGCAUCUCAUUAAUGAUAAUGUUUAUAAAACAGGAAAUCACAUGAUACAUUAUUAUUUGAAUGGGAUCGUUACUAGUUAAAAGCAUAUACAACAAUUUUGUACUAACAUACACACAAUUUCAAACACAAAAAAACCCAUUUUUUUUUCUUUUUAGUUUUAUUAAAAAUAAAUGUCACAAAUGAUGAAAAAUCAAUGACAAUUACUAAGAACAGUUAUUGAAUAGAUAAUGAAAAAAACUAAAGCUUGGUUGAGCCAUUCCAAUUUAACAGGAAAUUAUCCACGAUUGUCCAACUAUUUAUCUGAGAUUUUCAAAUGACAAAACACGGUAUUAAAAAUAUAAUUCCCCCACCACAACAUACAGUGCCAUUAUUUUCUGUGAGAAACUGCAGAAAUCAUUCGGAUAAAAAUCAAAGUGCAAAAUGGUAUUAUGCGGUGAAUCUUUUGAGAAUGUUUCAUUGAAAAAAAGACAGCAGCAGAUAUAACACUGGAAUAAAAGGACAAUUUGUUGAAUAGCAAAUAUAUUGUAUUAAUUAAUAUACUGAUAUAAAAUUUACCUGACGAAAUGAAAAAAAAUUACAUUCGUAGUGGUGAACAACAUAUGAAGCUUAUUCUAAAGAUAAUCCCAAACAGUUAAGUGUUUAUUACAAACUUAAUGCCUCCGAUCAACAUCAGUUUUCAAAAGUCAAUAAAACAACAUACAAAUGUCAGAAGUUGUGUAAUAUGUGUAAUAUAAGGUAGAAACAAAUUUGACCCUCAAGUCAUAUACUUUUUCAUCAUCGACAUGGUCUGAAAUAUUAUCAUAAACAUUUUUUGAAAAUAAUCAACUUGUCUUUAUUUUCCAACCAGGCAUACAGAUAUCUAGCCAAGCGUCGUGUACGGCUAUGUGUACUAAAUUGAACCACGACCGUUGUUAUGGCUGUUGUCAUGCCAAAGACUGCUUCAACGGUGGAAAUUGCGAUAGCUUGACAAAAAGAUGCGUUUGUAAUGGAUGCAUGGGUAAGUUAAUAUUUUUUUUACAUUUUAAUGUUGUGUUUCUGUUGUGUCGUAGUUAUCCU
rnacentral:lncRNA from 1 species